AGCUGGGGUGUUAGGGUGUUGGUUUGAGAUAAAAAGCUAGAAAAACAAGGGCUAAGCGAAAAAGAUCAACUGAAAUAGCAGUUGUGGUUAACGCUGGAGGCUGGGCACACUCAAUCUAUGACGUAGUAGAUGAAGACACAUGAAGCUCUACUCGGAAAGCAAAGAAUAAACAUUUAAAAAACGGGGUCUCAAUUCUGAUAUCAAGAUUACCCGCUUGUGAAGAAGGCCUAAAGAAAAUAAUGGGCCAAUCAUAUCGAUUGGAUGCCAUGACGAAUUUGAUGCUAUGCGACCAACCGCUGGAGACUUCCUUCAGCAAAGAUGGCUGACAAAAAUACUAGGACCGAAGCAAAUGUUAGUGACUCCUGAGAAAACCACCAAACCAAGCUGUCGUCUUGUGAAAGAGUGGAUAUAAGGAAUAUAGCUAGCUAAAGUUUUACUGAAAAUGUAAUGUGCAUUUUAUAUGCUUGCCUUGCUGGUAUUUGCCAUGAAAUGCAGUAGUAAUGUAGCUAGCUAACCAUUGUCUUGCUUAUUGUGUAGUGGAGGAUAAAAAAUACCUGUAUGCCUAUGGAUGUGUAGCUAGCUAUAAAAAAAAUAUAGCUAAGAAUAUAUUCACCGAUCAUGUGCUCUACCUUGGCAAAUACAGGUGUGGUUCAGGUCUUUUUCAGUCAUAUCCAAUACCAAGAGUAUCAAACUCCAGUCUUUGAACGAUGCUGUGUCUGCAUGUAUGUAUUACAAUUAUACACUUCAACCUUGUUUACCAAUCCUGGUCCAUCUAUGGUUACACAUUGUAACUAUGCAAUGGACUAGAAACAUGAUUUAACUAAUUAAAGACGGAUUUGUAAUUCACAUAUAUAUAGAAACAGAAUUUAAAAAGAAAGGUACCCUAUACUUUCUAUGUAUCACGUAAAUACUUGAAUAAACAGUUCAUCUCAAUAUCUCAUUUCCUUCAUCUGCACUGAUCUGAGGACACGGGAUAGGUGUAGUAUUUCAUGAAAUCAGAGACUUUAUUUCAACCAGUAGAGAAUGUGAAAUGCUUUGAAAAAAGUUCAAGUGUUAUAAAUACAUUAUAUUACAAUUAUAAUAAAUGUAUUAUGAAUAAAAGUUCAAGAGUGUUUACCAAUUCUGGUCCUGGGACAUCUAUGGUUACACAUUGUAACUAUGCAAUGUGUAGACUUUACAGUGAAAUGUUUACUUACAAGCCCUUAACCAGUGCAAUUCAAGAAGAGUUAAGAAAAUAUUUACUAAGUAGACAAAAAUAAAAAUAUAGUUUAGUUGAAGAGACACUGUUCAACAGGAAUCUGUGGCCUCACCUGCUGUCCACACUACGUGGCUGCAGAGUACUUUAUGCUGAAAAGCAUGCAUAGACACACGAGGAUAAACAAUAUAGUGUAGUUAUAUAAAUAUAAAUAAUGAAGUUUCCUCUUGCCUAUUCUGUUUAAAGUCAAAGGAGCCACAGUUAUACAUCUGAGCUUGCUUACUGCACAACACAAUCCAUCAAACAUUGAUACAUGAAUGUGUGGGUUAUAAGGUGUCUAAUUGUUUUAAAUGUGUGUGACUUAAAUAGCCUGUUUGUUUUUGUACAGACAUCACACUCUUAAACAGCACCCUCACCUGAUAAGUAGAAAUCAAAGGGAGAGAAACUGGGAAUUGAAUAACUGCAGUUGACAUUAGCUAAGUAAAUAGAAGAAUAGUCUUAGAAAGAGGAGGAAGGGAAGCGCUACUAAGGUACACAAUAGUACAUUUUGGUAGACAGAAGGAGCUCUAUGGUAAAAUAGGUAAAUUGGUCAUCAAAAAGGAGGACCAAGGCACUCUUCAUAUAAUGAAUUAAAAUGGCUUUAUUUGUAUGGCAUGUUCAAUAGAAACAACGUUUUUUUGUUUAAAUGCGAAGCGUUUCGGCUGCGGCCAUGUUCCUAUUGAACAUGCCAUACAAAUAAAGGCAUUUUAAUUCAUUAUUUGAAGAGGGCCUUGGAAGAAUACUCUUAGUGCAGUGUGGAUGGCUCUUAAAAGGGCCUUUGGUUGUGCAUAGUGUAGUCUAUGGUGUUGCCAGGGAACAGCACCCUCUUCGAAGAAGUAGGUGAAGAUCUCCAACACACAGAUUGCCUCUCUUGCUGCGUUGUUGGACCCCCAUCCUUGAAACAUCUUGACACCGUAUUGACGCAAUAGUAGCCUUGGUGUGCAGGCCUUCAAUGGUGGCAGGGUGGGCACAUCCAUUGUAAGGCAGGAUUAUCUCUGUGUUGAUGGUGAUGAUACACCAGUACAGGUGGUGUGGUACCAACUGGAGCAUGUGGAACACUCCCUCUGUGAAAGUACAUGUCAAUUAGGCCAUUGAUUCCAUGAUAUGAUGUCACAGUUAGAAGGAAAGCUCAGCAAUCCAUGAUAUGAUGUCACAGUUAGAAGGAUAGCUCAGCAAUCCAUGAUAUGAUGUCAGAGUUAGGAUAGCUCAGCAAUCCAUGAUAUGAUGUCACAGUUAGAAGGAUAGCUCAGCAAUCCAUGAUAUGAUGUCACAGUUAGAAGGAUAGCUCAGCAAUCCAUGAUAUGAUGUCACAGUUAGAAGGAUAGCUCAGCAAUCCAUGAUAUGAUGUCACAGUUAGAAGGAUAGCUCAGCAAUCCAUGAUAUGAUGUCACAGAAGGAUAGCUCAGCAAUCCACGAUUUGGUUUUGUUUAACUAACCACUGCUUUGCUUGGUGUGAGGUAUUGUUGUCGCCUGGCGGGGAACAUUGUCCAACACAGAUUCUGUGCCGGGUUCUGUGGGUUUCGUUGCUCAAACCAGUAUCUGGUUGGGGAGGAAAACAUGACUUGUUUGUACAUAUACCAUGACAUUCUCUACUCGCUAGUGCCAACAAUAUACAUACACCUGCAUUGCAUAACACAUGAACAAUGGCUGCUCAUGAUUGAGAUGGUGUGCUUGAACGGAGAUCAAUAAUUCUUCAUGAUGACCUCUUCAUAGCAUGAAUACAACUAAUUGAGUCUUCAAUAUGCAACUGGACUCUAAAUUGUAACAAUAGUCUCAACAUCAUUGACAGGUCAACUUAAUGAAUUAUGAAUACUAUGCUGGACAUUGGAGAAAUAGAUGAACAAUAAUUUUGCCAGAUCAUAGAAUAGAUUUACCAUACCUGAUGUGCUUGACCAGGUUUUCACUCAUAUGGUGCUCCGCAUUAGGGGAACCAGUAGGGUCCAGGACAAUGGCAGAGUGGGUCCUGCGAUUGACAUACUAAAACGCAAGCAGUAAUACCAAGCCAGUGUAUCAAAUGGCCUCAAACAUAUUCAAGUAAAAAUAUAUAUACAUUUUUAAAUACCAUUAUUUAACUAGGCAAGUCAGUUAAGAACAAAUUCUUAUUUUCAAUGACGGCCUAGGAACAGUGGGUUAACUGCCUUGUUCAGGGGCAGAAUGACAGAUUUUUACCUUGUCAGCUCGGGAAAACAAACAGUUCUAUUUUUGUUUCAUCAGACCAGAGGACAUUUCUCUAAAAAAGUAUGAUCUUUGUACCCAUGUGCAGUUGCAAACUGUAGUCUGGCUUUUUUAUGGCAGUUUUGGAGCAGUGGCUUCUUCCUUGUUGAGGGGCCUUUCAGGUUAUGUCGAUAUAGGACUCGUUUUACUGUGGAUAUAGUCAACUUAGUGUAUGUAAACUUCUGGCCCACUGGAAUUGUGAUACAGUGAAUUAUAAGUGAAGUAAUCUGUCUGUAAACAAUUGUUGGGAAAAUGACUUGUGUCAUGCACAAAGUAGAUGUCCUAACCGACUUGCCAAAACUAUAGUUUGUUAACAAGAAAUUUGUGGAGUGAUUGAAAAACAAGUUUUAAUGACUCCAACCUAAGUGUAUGUAAACUUCCGACUUCAACUGUACAUACACUACCGUUCAAAAGUUUGGGGUCAUUUAGAAAUGUCUUUGUUUUUGAAAGAAAAGCUAUUUGUUUUGUCCAUUAAAAUAACAUCAAAUUGAUCAGAAGUACAGUGUAGACAUUGUCUAUGUUGUAAGUUACUAUUGUACCUAGAAACGGCUGAUUUUUAAUGGAAUAUCUACAUAUGCUUACAGAGGCCCAUUAUCAGCAACCAUCACUCCUGUGAUGAUUGGCACAUUGUAUUAGCUAAUCCAAGUUUAUCAUUUUAAAAGGCUAAUUGAUCAUUAGAAAACCCUUUUGCAAUUAUGUUAGCACAGCUUAAAACUGUUGUGCUGAUUAAAGAAGCAAUAAAACUGGCCUUCUUUAGACUAGUUGAGUAUCUGGAGCAUCAGCAUUUGUGGGUUCGAUUACAGGCCAGAAACAAAGACAUUUCUUCUGAAACUCGUCAGUCUAUUUUUGUUCCGAGAAAUGAAGGCUAUUCCAUUUUGAGAAAUUGCCAAGAAACUGAAGAUCUCGUACAACGUUGUGUACUACUCCCUUCACAGAACAGCGCAAACUGGCUCUAACCAGAAUAGAAAGAGUGGGAGGCCCCGGUGCACAACUGAUCAAGAGGACAAGUACAUUAGAGUGUCUAGUUUGAGAAACACGACGCCUCACAAGUCCGCAACUGACAGCUUCAUUAAAUAGUACCCACAAAACACCAGUCUCAACUUCAAAGAGUCUGAAUACUCGUGUAAAUGUUUAUAUGUAUAUUUUUUUAUAAAUGUGUAAACAUUUCUGAAAACCUGUUCACUUUGUCACUAUGGGAUAUUGUGUGUAGAUUGAUUAAAUGUUUUCAGAAUUAGGCUGUAAUGUAAUUAGGCUGUAAUGUAAUUAGGCUGUAAUUAGGCUGUAAUGUAAUUAGGCUGUAAUGUAAUUAGGCUGUAAUUAGGCUGUAAUGUAAUUAGGAUGUAAUGUAAUUAGGCUGUAAUUAGGCUGUAAUGUAAUUAGGCUGUAAUUAGGCUGUAAUGUAAUUAGGCUGUAAUGUAACAAACUGUGGAAAAGGGUGAAGGGGUAUAAACAAUUUCCGAAAGCACCGUAACUGUGGCCACCUUCAAAGACAAUAGGACCAACUAUGGAGAAUAGUAAUAAACGUCAUUAUUUAUAUUUAUAUAACUACACUAUAUGUUUUUCGGUAUAACGUACUCUGCAGCCACUUAGUGUGGACACCAGGUGAGGCCACACACAGAUUCCUGUUGAACAGUGUCUCUUCAACUACCAUAUUUUCUCAAUAACAGUCUCUCCUUCACCUCAUCCCUCUCCCCCUUCUCCCUAAAUCCUCUAGGUUAUAUCAGCUGUGUUGGUGAACCCCUCCUGCAUCUGAGCUGGCUCCAUAGAGGGCACAGCAUGAUCAGAGUCUCAUCUGCAGCUUUGUUUUGAUGUGAGAGAGGAUGCCAACCCCCAGUCCCGUCAUCGCCACAUCACCCGCUCUUAAGAUAACCUUCAGGUCGACUGGGAGCCCAAGGCUGGUUAGGAGACACCACUAGAGACACUAUUAUGUAAUUGUGAUGAACUGAGAGAAUAUUAAGUUUAGUAGCAUUGUAAUUCAUUAAUCAUAUGCUGCCUUCCCUGCUCCUCUGUUCUUACCUCUUUCCCUUUCACUCUCACACACCUCUCUCCCCACCUCUCCCCACACCUCCUCUUUCUUCCUGUUUUUAUAAUGCACACCAGAUGUGCAAUGAAGUACAGAACUUUUAUUCAUAAUACAUUUAUUAUAAUUGUAAUAUUAUGUAUUUAUAACACUUGAACUUUUUUCAAAGCAUUUCACAUUCUCUACUGGUUGAAAUAAAGUCUCUGAUUUCAUGAAAUACUACA